UACGGGGGGGGCUAGCGUUGUUCGGAAUUACUGGGCGUAAAGGGCGCGUAGGCGGCCUACUAAGUCGGACGUGAAAUCCCUCGGCUCAACCGGGGAACUGCGUCCGAUACUGGUGGGCUCGAAUCCGGGAGAGGGAUGUGGAAUUCCAGGUGUAGCGGUGAAAUGCGUAGAUAUCUGGAGGAACACCGGUGGCGAAGGCGGCGUUCUGGACUGCAACUGACACUGAGAAACGAAAGCCAGGGUAGCAAACGGG
rnacentral:rRNA from 1 species